UGAUGCGGAGGCAAAUCCCCAAAAAUUAGUCUCAGUUCAGAUUGCAGGCUGAAACUCGCCUGCAUGAAGUCGGAAUUGCUAGUAAUCGCAGAUCAGCAUGCUGCGGUGAAUACGUUCCCGGGCCUUGUACACACCGCCCGUCACACCAUGGGAGUCGGUAACACCCGAAGCCUGUAGUCUAACCGCAAGGAGGACGCAGUCGAAGGUGGGAUUGAUGACUGGGGUGAAGUCGUAACAAGGUACC
rnacentral:rRNA from 1 species